CCCCCCCCUCCUCUUAAAGCAAAGGAGGGGAAACAUAUAACUGGUUCAAGGUCAGCGUCUGUCAGCCCCGCGUGUGUAAAUAUAACUGGAUGUUUUUCAACUCUGCUUUUAUCUUCCUGAGUCUCGAUCAUUCGCCUCGAGAACAGCCAUGGUCAAAACGGAGGGGGGCUGAAUAUUAAAUUAGAACAGCCAUGGUCAGAACAGAGGGAGGGGCUGAAUAUUAAAUUAGAACAGCCAUGGUCAAAACGGAGGGAGGAGGGGCUGAAUAUUAAAUUAGAACAGCCAUGGUCAGAACGGAGGGGGGCUGAAUAUUAAAUUAGAACAGCCAUGGUCAGAACGGAGGGAGGUGAAUACUAAAUUAGAACAGCCAUGGUCAGAACAGAGGGAGGGGGAUAUUAAAUUAGAACAGCCGUGGUCAAAACGGAGGGAGGGGCUGAAUAUUAAAUUAGAAGAGCCAUGGUCAGAACGGAGGGAGGGGCUGAAUAUUAAAUUAGAACAGCCAUGGUCAGAACGGAGGGAGGGGCUGAAUAUUAAAUUAGAAGAGCCAUGGUCAGAACAGAGGGAGGGGGAUAGUAAAUUAUAGAACAGCCAUGGUCAGAACAGAGGGAGGGGCUGAAUAUUAAAUUAGAACAGCCAUGGUCAGAACAGAGGGAGGGGCUGAAUAUUAAAUUAGAAGAGCCAUGGUCAGAACGGAGGGAGGAGGGGCUGAAUAUUAAAUUAGAACAGCCAUGGUCAGAACGGAGGGGGGCUGAAUAUUAAAUUAGAACAGCCAUGGUCAGAACAGAGGGAGGGGGAUAUUAAAUUAGAACAGCCAUGGUCAGAACGGAGGGAGGGGCUGAAUAUUAAAUUAGAAGAGCCAUGGUCAGAACGGAGGGAGGAGGUGAAUAUUAAAUUAGAACAGCCAGGGUCAGAACGGAGGGAGGGGCUGAAUAUUAAAUUAGAAGAGCCAUGGUCAGAACGGAGGGAGGGGGAUAUUAAAUUAGAACAGCCAUGGUCAGAACAGAGGGAGGGGCUGAAUAUUAAAUUAGAACAGCCAUGGUCAGAACAGAGGGAGGGGCUGAAUAUUAAAUUAGAACAGCCAUGGUCAGAACGGAGGGAGGGACUGAAUAUUAAAUUAGAAGAGCCAUGGUCAGAACGGAGGGAGGUGAAUAUUAAAUUAGAACAGCCAUGGUCAGAACGGAGGGAGGGGCUGAAUAUUAAAUUAGAACAGCCAUGGUCAGAACGGAGGGAGGGACUGAAUAUUAAAUUAGAAGAGCCAUGGUCAGAACGGAGGGAGGUGAAUAUUAAAUUAGAACAGCCAUGGUCAGAACGGAGGGAGGGGCUGAAUAUUAAAUUAGAACAGCCAUGGUCAGAACGGAGGGAGGGACCAUACUACUCUUCCUGUUCUGUUGUUUUUACUUUCGCCUGUGAGCAUCGACAGACCAGAGUGGUUUCUGGGCCCCGCUGCAAGAGAGUGUGUGUGUGUUGUAUAUACUCUGCUGUGUGGGUGUGUGUGUGUGUGUGUUGUAUAUCUACUCGUGUGUUGACAGUAUGAAACGUGGUGGUCUGUGGGAAUGUGGCGGUCUGUGGGAAUGUGGCGGUCUGUGGGAAUGUGGCGUGUUUGCAGUGAUGCAUCUAUGGACAUCCUCUCAGAAUAAAUAAAUGUUCUAUACAAACUGUUCCCCUCGACUCUUUUACUACUGUCUGUCUGUCUGUCUGCCUGUCUGCCUGUCUGUGUACAGUUGAAGUCUGUAAACAUCCACUUAGGUUGGAGUCAUUAAAACUUGUUUUUCAGCCAUUCCACAAAUUUCUUGUUAACAAACUAUAGUUUUGGCAAGUCGGUUAGGACAUCUACUUUGUGCAUGACACAAGUCAUUUUUCCAACAAUUGUUUACAG
rnacentral:lncRNA from 1 species